rnacentral:lncRNA from 1 species
CUUGCUCACUGCCUUAACCGCCCAAGAUUCUGACUUGCUGCAACUGCCUCUGAGAUUUCCUUUGACACCUAGCACUGUAGCCAGAUUUGGAUUAGAAAACCUGAACCAGCUGGCGAGAGCUCAGAAUUUUCCUGUGACCUCAAGAGGGCAAGCAGCAGCUGUAACCUCACCUUUGCCUCCAGAUGGCAUUGUUGCCACAUCAUCGUUUCCUGAGUAUGGAAUGAAACAGAGUUCUGAAAUACUGCCUGUUCUUUGCUAAGGAACUGAGCACGUCUGAAGAAGUCUUGACUCCCAUGGGCACCCCAGGCCUCCAAACAAACUUCUGGUCUUCCUUGUCAUCCUGCCUGUGUCAACUCCCCACCAUGAGUUUAGCAAACUUAACACAACCCUAUCCCUGAUGGUUCUUGGUGAGUUUUUUCUACUGAGUGGAAUGAAAAGCAAACCCUAAACACCUGUAUUCUUUCAAAGCCCUUAUCUAAGAGAUGCUUCCUUUGAGAAUAAGUAAGGAAUUUAUUCCCCUGCAUGUCUCUCAUCCAAACGAUGUCUGGCAUUUCCACUGGACACAGGUUGACACUGUUGCUACAUUCCUACCACCGCAGGAGAGAAAGGGCUGUUGACAGGGAGACGUUUGGAGUCUGAUGUGGGGAUGGGAGAAACAAUUAUCUGCAGGGAACACAAUUAACAAUGCUUAGGAAAUUGUUCACACAGCAAUUAAUUCUGCAUGCCUACCACCACGUAAAGUCAGACUGCAUUCUAUUAAGGUUAAAAACCUAUCUUCAAACAAUACAGCUCAGAUUGAUGGCCACAGAUGAAGGUGGCAAGGUGUCCGUGUGUGUGUGGGUGUGUCUGCUUUUCACUUACACUCUUCUCCAUCUUAGAACCAUGUUUUCUUUCCUCUAAAGUGAAAGGCCCACUGUUACAACUUCUUGAGAUGAUAAAUAGUAAUAAGAGUAAGUGACAUUUACUGUACACUUUCCAUCAAGGUAACACCUAAUUUUCUCCUGCAGUUUGUCCGUUAUAUGUAGGUCACUCACUUGAAGAGACCAGAUUCCAUUGCCUCAAAUAAUGACAUAUUUUCACUAUACAGAGGUCAGGAAAUGAGAACUAAUCAUGGUGGCUUCAAGAUAACGAUAGCUUCUGAUUUGUAAUUACCAGGUGAAGGGAGCCAAGGAAUUAGCUAUUUUAAAAUAAUUUUUUAAAAAAAUGAUACUAUUGGGUUAUUGAAGCUCGCCUUGGGCCAGCUGCAGCUGCACUGGAGGUGCGGUUCUUUCAAGGAGGGUCUUAAGACAGACACUGGCAGGUACUGCAGGUGCCGCUGGAACCCAGGCCUAACAAAGCUUUGAUUUCACGUCUAUGGAAGGAGUGGUGGGUCCCAUCAGGCAAAGAUGACAACCUCCCCAACAUCCCAUCUCAAACUCUUGUCAAAACUGCUCUGCUCUUAUAGCACUCAAUCUUGCCACUGUAAGGUGCAGAACAUAUUGCAACCAUCAGCUUUGGGAGAAAAGGAAGCAAACAAUCCCCUAAUGUUACUGAACAGGAAGAGACAUCCCUGCAACUGUGUUUCCUCUGUUUCCAAGGAUGCCUUCCCUCUUGCCUCCCCUUCCCACCUUUUUCUUUGUUUUGGGUUCCAUGGCAUCUUUUUAUUUUUAUUUUUUAAAAGUAUCCUGAAAAUAAGAAAACUACAGAUGAGGUGGAAAGGGUUAGGGUCAGAGUACACCAGUAACUUCUCAGACAACUCCCAGGAGUGAGAAGAAAAAUAAGAAAGUGAGAUGGAGGUGGAGAAGGGGAAAAGCCAAAUCUGCUGAACAUGAGACCUGUCCUUCCAAAAGAAGCAAUGCAACAAAAAUGAAACUCAAGUUUGGGCAUAUUUUCUGUUGUUGAACUGAACAUUAAGUAAAUAAGUGAGAAUUAUAUCUGGGGUAUAACCACCUUCUCUUGUUUUUUGGGAGCGUCUGAAAUAGGUUUUUGUUGGCACUUUUUUUUUUUUUUAAUCAGCCAUUCUUUCUCUCUCACUUGAGUAAGAAAACGAGAUGCUCUCUCUGGCCGGUGGGGAGGGACUAAAGUGUCCUUAGGAUAAAG